CCUAAUUUAUGAAUUUUCCUCUCAAGCUCUACAUAAAAAUAUAUAUUGAUGACUUUUCACCGAAAUCAUGAUAUAAAUACAAAUAUUGCAAUUAAUCAUUACAUAUAUUAAAUUCUUUGCACAGUUUAUAUUUACAUAUAUAUUAAUUCCUAUUUUGUGUUCGGAUAAAUUUUCCUAUCAAGCCCUUUAUCAGCUAUUGAUAAUUUUGCACCGAAAACAUAAUAAAAUACAAAGAUUGCAAUUUAUAAUUAUAAUUACAUUUGUUUAAUACUUUGCACAGUUUUCCUUCAAAUCACAAUACUUUGUAUAAUUCUGUUUCAUUUGUAUAUUAUUCAGAUGCAUAGUUAACCUCUUAAAUAAUAGUAUUUAGGAACUAUAUGUAAUAAAUUUUAUGGUUUUAAAAAACUAUUCAAAUGAAUUCUGCUAGAGAUAAGCACCGACAGCAUAUCAUUCACCAGAAUUCGAUGGUACAUGAGAAGUAAAUGGCCUGGAGACUUUGACUCAACACCUGUGUCAUUUCUUAUUAAUUUAUCUAUAACUGUUUAUGAGGCAAUUUGUUCAAAGUAAUGUCAUAUGGUUUCAUUCUGAAGAAAACGAGAUGAGUCAUCGCAGAGCAAGGUCACGGGUGGCCACUCAAAUUCCAAGAACUCUGAAACUGAAACUAUAGAAAUAUGGUAGUGCAUAAAUCAGUGAAUUGACGCUUACAGAAACAGGUAGAAAAAAAAUAAUUCAAUUCUGCUAAACGAAUUUCAAUUUACUGGCUAAUUAUCGAAGCUUGGGAAUGAUUGGUUUUUCAGUGGACCUUAUGCGGAAUCAAAUUAUCAUGCUUCAUAAAAGUAUGUUAUCAAUUUGAUAUGAAUAAUCUUUUUCUUUCACUUUCCUUGAAUUUCUCUAUGCUUAAUAACACAAUGUGUCUGUUUCUUUGUCUCUGUGAUCACAGAUUUUUAUAUCCUUGCCUUGUAUAUAUAUUGCAGGGGUCGGGAACCUUUUUGGGCAAGAAAGCCAUAAAAGGUACAUUUUUCCAAUUGCAUUUUUGUGCGAGCCAUAUAGCAUUUCAGGCCAGAAAUUUGAUGACUUCUGAUACAGCAUGUUGUCGCUGCGGGCCUUCAACGGCUGCUCACAUGCAGCACAAGUUGAAAUCUAGGAUACUCAUCACCCUUCUUUCGUUUAGGCAUCUCUGUAGUAUUUUAAAACCAGCUUUGCUAGUCCGAUUUAAAUAUGACAAAUACUGUAACUAGUACGUACAAACGAACGAAAAGCUAUAUUCUAUUGCUCCACGACUAUCGCCUUGUGACGUCACAAAAUAUGUUUCAGAAUCCCCUAGUUUUGUCACAAUGCUUGUCUGGUAAUUAUCUUAGAUAACAUAGACAUGCGCUGGCGCGCGUUUUUUAAACUAAUUGGCAAAUUUUCUGCCAAAUUUGGCUGUAAAACAGUGUGAAAACUCGUAACCUAAUUCGUAAUUUAAUAUUUUGAAAAUGUCUGCAAACAUGUAUGCACAACCUGUACAGCCUACAAUAUAUAAACUGGGAAUUAUAGAAUAUCUGUAGGAAUCAUUUUCAUCGUGGCACGCAUUGUCUGCAUUGUAAUUUUCGCAUCAUCUUCCAAUGUUGGAGAUAGAGGAUAUGUAGCCGGGGAUGCAAUCCUUUUUUCCCCUUUCUCCUAUACUCUCUGCAAUCAUUCAUAUACGAAUCUGAUAACAUUUUGUUAAUAUCAGGGCACACUAGUGUUUGCCUAUAUUAUUUUACUUCUACAGUAAUCGGUAGGUACUAGGUACGAUACGAUUUACAACGUAUUGAUAUUCCCUUUAAUCUGCUGUUGCUCGAUUGGUCGAAUCUAUUGCGAAAUAAAAAAUGUUGGCCAUUUUAUAUGCCCAUGGUAAACAUUUUGUAAUUUGUAGUAUUUUAAUAUUAUUUUGUAACAUAAAGUUCACUUAUAUCUAUCUAACUAUUGGUUCAAACUUUUAAAAAACGAAUUUGUUUUUCUUAAUUAACUAUUCUAGUAUAAUUUUUUGCACCAGUUGUUCUGUAAAGUGGAGCAGAUGCCAUUUUUAAAAUUGCAUAUAUUUUUUCUGAAUGCAAAUUGUUUCAUAUUAAUUGCGAUUUCCAAGCUAUUGAAAGCAUUUCAAUUCGUGCUUACUUAGGUUUAACAACUAUAAAGUCAACAGAUUGAUCUACACAAAAAUGUAUUGUUAUUAAUUUAUUGUUGAGACCGUUUGAAAAGUUAUAUUAUUAUUGCUUUGCCCCUAUGACACGGCACAUUCCCCUUUUUCAUCAUUGACUAUUGCUUGUUUGUAAACUGAACAUUUUUGAAUUAUAAUAUUAAGCACAUUAGUUGUCUUACUCACAACUUGGUUUCAUAUUGACAAUUUUUCUUAUAAUUUACUGAUGUAGGAUAUUUACGAUAUUUGAAUUAGUCAUUUUGACAAACAACCUACUUUUAUUCUAGACAUCAAAUGGCCUUAUGUGUUUCAAAAUAUUUCUCCUAUCGUUUCAACAAUUGUUAUGAUAUCAUUGUUCACUUUAAGUACUUUCAUAUUCUUAUUAAUCAUCCAUUCUUGAAUACAAGCCCCAAACAAUGAACAGUGAACACAAACCUUUACGUUGUGGUCUGUAGAAUUGGGUACCUAUUUGGGAAUUUAAUGUUUUGGCAUCCUAUUGCCUUAAAUUCAAAUCGUUUUUGUCAAUUUCACAUAGAAUAUGAGAAGAUGUGAAUGAACAUCGUACCUAAUUUGUCAUAUAUAUUGAGAUGCUGAAUUCAGUACCGGUGUUUUUCUGUUUUGUACUAUUCCAAAGAUGCUAUUACUUGCCAACAUUUCAAAAUUGAUAGUUGGAUGAAUUAAAUAUGUGAUAAUGAUAUUUUAGUAUUAUUUCUUGUAACAUUGUUUCUCAUUUCUUUGUUUUAUCACUAUUGCUUUAUUUACCUACUGUGUAUAUAGAGCAUUAGACAUAGUUUGCUUAUCAACUUGUUAGCAAAGAUUGAAUAUAACCAUGCUAGUAAUAGGCAGUGAUGCGUUGGAAACCAAGCAACAAUACUGUCUAAGUGUCUACCAUUUCGAUGCUAACUGACAUUGAAAGCAAUGCUCACUGUACAUCUGAAUAAUACCAGGGUCAAGAAUUACCAAAUAACACUCAGGUUUUCUGUGGAAAUGCCAAAAUUUUUCGAUUUUCUGAAAUGUUUUGGUCUAAUGCUUUUUUUUAAUAUUUUUACAUUUUAUCAUUCUA